rnacentral:rRNA from 1 species
UACGUAGGGAGCAAGCGUUGUCCGGAAUCAUUGGGCGUAAAGCGCGCGUAGGUGGCUUCAUAAGUCCGUUGUGAAAGUCAAAGGCUCAACCUUUGAAAGCCGAUGGAUACUGUGGAGCUAGAGUACGGAAGAGGCGAGUGGAAUUCCUGGUGUAGCGGUGGAAUGCGCAGAUAUCAGGAGGAACACCGGUGGUGUAGACGGCUUUCUGGACCGUAACUGACGCUGAGACACGAAAGCGUGGGUAGCAAACAGG